GGAGAGGUGUCGGAGUGGCUGAUCGAGCUGGUUUCGAAAACCAGUGUGCGUUUUUGCGUACCGCGGGUUCGAAUCCCGCCCUCUCCG
rnacentral:tRNA from 1 species